UGUAUGUGACAGCCAUAUUUGUUGUUUUUGAUUUCACGCAAAGACCACGUUUUGACAACAUCUCGAUAAAGAAAGCGAAGUCUACGACAACAUGCUUGAAAUCACGUGUAAUGAUCGGCUCGGGAAGAAGGUGCGGGUUAAAUGCAAAUGAAAUAAAAGAUGGCAUGAAUCUUGAACUGUAUUACCAGUGAAAGAUGUGCAAGCUAUAUGGUUAACCGACAGCAGAUCACGGACUUGGAUAACGGACACAGAUGACAGGAUGAUCACAAUUUAAUGGUCAAGUAACAGAACAUUAAGAGUAAAUGAAGGGAGACUACUCCAGCAGCUGAUGUACAUUUACAUGUCACUAGAAAAUAAGUGACUUUGUGUUAUAGAAUGCCAGUGGGAAAUCAUGAGUUUAAUUUUUGCUAUUAAUGUCUUUGUCAAUGAAAGAUACAACAGAUGUGAGAUGAGAGUUUAAAUUUAAAUGCAUUUGAUACAAACUUGUAAAAUUGUGUAUGAUAUAUGGAGAAAUUUAGUAGAAAAUUUUGGUACCAUUUUGAUGGCGACCUACAUAUUCACUCACAAUUGGUUGUAUUGAAGAAAAGUAUAAGCAGGUGUACACACAUUGAAACAUUGAAGAUUCAUUAUUGUCCAGUUUGGUGUGAAUGACUCGCGAGUGCGAAAUUUAACACUGUAUAUUGUGUAUGAAAGAAUGUAAAAACCUUAAGUUAAUAAAAUAUGUGGUAAAUUUUC